rnacentral:rRNA from 1 species
AGUGAACGCUGGCGGCGUGCUUAACACAUGCAAGUCGCACGAGAAAGCUUCUGCUUGCAGAGGCGAGUAAAGUGGCGCACGGGUGAGUAACACGUGGGUAAUCUACCUCCGAAUUGGGGAUAACAUUGCGAAAGCGAUGCUAAUACCGGAUGACAUUGCAGGUUCUUAGGGACUUGUGAUCAAAGGUGGCCUCUUCAUGAAAGCUAUUGUUUGGAGAUGAGCCCGCGUCCCAUUAGCUAGUUGGCAGGGUAACGGCCUACCAAGGCGACGAUGGGUAGCUGGUCUGAGAGGAUGAUCAGCCACACUGGAACUGGUACACGGUCCAGACUCCUACGGGUGCAG